CACGUUAGUUCAUAGGGUUCUUGUGAGGUUUGGUAAAAUGGAAAAUGCUAGGAAGUGUGAGCUGAGAAGCAUGGAAAGAAUGCAUAGAAUCAGGUCGAGUCUAUAGAUAGAGUGCUAUGGAUACAUGACUAUAAAAUAAAAUCUAAGAGGAUCAUUUUUGUCCUGUGUCCCUGGGAAUGAAGGACCAUAAAUCACACCUACCUGCUUGACUUCCCCCUCCAGUCACUGAUAAAGGAUGCGAUGAUCCAACAAGGAAGCCAUGUGCCAUCACCUCAGCACCAGCUCUGAUACUCUGUUCCAAGAUUUCGGCCAUCGCUGAGGCUCCACUCCAUGACCCGCAUAAAGAUGCCACAGCCACCAAAUGACCAUAACUAAUAACACCUGCUUGGUGAACUCAGGGAGCCCAAGAAUGGAAUGGAGGCAGCUUGAGUUCUGUGGAUUUUGAAGGCUGUUUCAAGGGCUAAAGGAAUAUUG